CGGGCACGAGGUGAGUUACACAUAGACGUGCUGCCAAUCUUAUCACAGGGCCGACACAUAUGGACAGAAAAACACAUACAUACUCACACAUAUGGUCAAUUCUGAGUCACCAAUUCACU